ACUCCUACGGGAGGCAGCAGCUAAGAAUCUUCCGCAAUGGGCGAAAGCCUGACGGAGCGACGCCGCGUGAACGAAGAAGGCCGUGAGGUUGUAAAGUUCUUUUCGGGAGGGGGAACAACCGUGGCAGGGAAUGGCCGCGGGAUGACGUGAAUCCCGGAAUAAGCCCCGGCUAACUACGUGCCAGCAGCCGCGGUAACACGUAGGGGGCGAGCGUUGUUCGGAAUCAUUGGGCGUAAAGGGCGUGCAGGCGGUCCUGCAAGUCCGGCGUGAAAGACCCCGGCCCAACCGGGGGGACGCGCUGGAAACUGCAGGGCUUGAGUACAGGAGGGGAUGCCGGAAUUCCAGGUGUAGGGGUGAAAUCUGUAGAUAUCUGGAAGAACACCAAUGGCGAAGGCAGGCAUCUGGCCAUGUACUGACGCUGAGACGCGAAGGUGCGGGGAGCAAACAGGUUUAGAUACCCUGGUAGUCCGCACAGUAAACGAUGUGCACCAGGUGGCGG
rnacentral:rRNA from 1 species